UUAAAGGCGAUGAGAAAGAAGAGUAUAUAUUGUUCCUUGAAAGAGAAAACUGCUCAUAGGCUGAGAGGCAGUUGCAAGAAGAAGGUAUAGAAGGUAGCUUUGGAGCUGGGUAUCUGAACAGGGCAGUAGGGUAUCACGGGUAGUUCACGUUAAGAAACUUAGAGAUAUAUGUACGGUUAUUGUAUAUAUAACAAAGGUGGUACCGCGAUAAUUCGCCCUUUAC
rnacentral:ncRNA from 1 species